GUCGCUGAUGUCCAUAAAGAGGAAGAAAUGAGGAUUACAUGUUUGUGGCCUAAGGUUCUUUGAAGAGCUGACUGGUGCAACAACACAAACAUGUAAUCUUAGAUACCUACCCCAGCUCCAUAUUAUUUUCAUGUAUAAUGUUUUGUAACCUUCAAAGCUUACAGGUAAAUGUUAAAAAAAGAAAACAAAUAAAUGGACUUCAUAAUCAUAAUGUGUUCUUGAGAUCUGGAUAGACUUUUGUGUGAUGAUGAUUGAAAUUUUGAUCCAUCAUAGCUGUGAUAUUUGGUUUCUCUCUUGAAUAAAUCCUUCUGAUUGUUUUCUACUUUGCAGCACAUAUUCCUUUGUAUCUGUACCCUUUUCUUAAUACAACAAGUCAAGACCUUUGGAAUAUUUGAGGCUUACAAGCUUAGGUGUCAUCGGCGCCCUCGUGAAGGUUGACGACACUGAAAUUAUCGUUUUUCUUCUUUCGACAGAGAUCAUUCCUCUGUGCUUGCGCACGAUGGAGAUGGGGAGUGAACUAUCAAAAACAGUUAGUGCUUCCCCGAAGCCAGUUUCCAAUUACAUCUUCCCUCAACUUCAUUAGAUUUUCAUGCAUCUAAAUUAUCAAAAAAUUCUUCUUGAUGAUGUGGGUCUGGAUUACAUCUGUACCACAGCGGAAAGGUUUUUUGCAGUAGCCCGAGUUUUAGGUAAUAUGGUCGGUGCACUUGCCGAACAACCUUCAUCAAGGUUGCUGAAACACAUAAUUAGGUGCUAUCUCCGUCUGUCAGAUAAUCCAAGGGCGUGUGAUGCACUGAGAACUUGUC